AGCAGUAGCCGCGGUAACACCGAGGGUGCGAGCGUUAAUCGGAUUUACUGGGCGUAAAGCGUGCGUAGGCGGCUUCUUAAGUCGGAUGUGAAAUCCCUGAGCUUAACUUAGGAAUUGCAUUCGAUACUGGGAAGCUAGAGUAUGGGAGAGGAUGGUAGAAUUCCAGGUGUAGCGGUGAAAUGCGUAGAGAUCUGGAGGAAUACCGAUGGCGAAGGCAGCCAUCUGGCCUAAUACUGACGCUGAGGUACGAAAGCAUGGGGAGCAAACAGGAUUAGAUACCCCAGUAGUCCCUGUCUCUUAUAC
rnacentral:rRNA from 1 species